rnacentral:tRNA from 1 species
GUUCUGUUAGACAAAUUGGUAAAGUCACCACCCUUUCAAGGUGGGGUUUACGGGUUCGACCCCCGUACAGAACGCUA